CCGCCGAGCCUCCUGCGGCCGAGGCUCGUCCCGAGACGCGCCGGCUCCGCGCCUUCCGGGAGAGCUUGCGCCUGCUCGGGGCUUCGCCGCCGUCUCGGGCGAGGACGGCUGGCUGGGCUGCAGCGGCCGGGAGGGAGCCAGCGUGGGCCUCGAGCCUCGUCAGCCCCAGUCAGGAGCUCGGGGCCCGGAGGGGGAGCUCGGCUCUGAAACGUGCAGCCAUGAAUUCUGGAGCUGCCGUGAGACCGGGGAACGACGCGUCGGCCGAGCUGAGCGAGGUUACUAUGUGGAGCUAAUCGGGCAUUCCAGUGACACUGAGGAUGUGGCAUUGUGUGUCCCUCAGAGGUAGAAUGACGUCUGCAGCAGAGCGGUCAGCAGGCAGGUGGAGGGAGAAAGAGCGAGACUGAGAGGGAGAAAAUGUGUGUAAAUGAAGAAACGGAACAGUAUAUUGUGCAGAGUUGGUGUGUGAUGUGAAGAAAAAACAAGGGUGCCUUGGGGCCCUGGGAUGGUCUUUGUAAAAUAAUCCCAAGACUAAAAAGCUCAUUUAAAAAAAAAAACCACACACAGACUAUAAUAAAUUGGGACCAUCUGUUGUUCUAUCUCGGCCUGCUUACUUCGUUUUCUGCCUGUUGCUUAUUUAAGAAUGCCUUUACAAUGGCGACGGAGCCCUGCCCGGUGUCAGAUGGCACCAGGGACGGAGUGCAGAGAGGCCAGCAAGGCUGGGCUGCAG